rnacentral:lncRNA from 1 species
AUUGCUGAGUCAUCUAUAACUUUAUAAUAAAUGUCAAUGUGAAUGGAUGAUUCUAAUAGAAUCUCUUUGUUUUUGAAGAGUGAAUGGAAACUGCUUUAAGUAAUGUAUCUAAUAAUUCAUCUCCAAGCUUCUUCCUCAAAUGUUCAUUUGAUCCUUGUUAUUGAUUAUAGAUAAGAAUAUGGCAUGGUCACUCCACGUUGUUUGUGAAGAUCUUCAGAUUUAUUUUAUUGAACAAGAUAAAUAAUGCAAUUGUGCUCUUGUCAGUUUCAACAGAGAAAUCACACAUCAGUGACACCAGCCUGAAAAGCCAUGCUGAGUGGCAUUACGUCAUGCUGGUCAAAAUUCAGAAAUUCUAACUUGGAAAGUUCAUUUAAAAUAAGUACCAGGAAGCACUGAAACUUGAUUUUAAAAAUGGGCAAAACGCUUGAAUAAUGACACUAUCAAAAAGAAAAAAAAAAAACACAGAGAAUAACAAGUGCUCGUGAGGAUACAGAGAAAUUGACACCUUUGUACACUGUUGGUGGGAAUGCAAAAUUGUGCGGCCACUGUGAAAAACAGUAUAGGAGUUCCUCAA